rnacentral:rRNA from 1 species
UAAAAAGCUCGUAGUUGGAUUUCUGGUGGGAGCGGCCGGUCCGCCGCAAGGUGUGUACUUGGUUGUCUCCUGUCAUCCUUGUGGGAACUGCUCUGGCAUUAAGUUGUCGGGGUUAGGGAACACAUCGUUUACUGUGAAAAAAUUAGAGUGUUUAAAGCAGGCUUAUGCCGUUGAAUACAUUAGCAUGGAAUAAUAAGAUAGGACUUUGGCGUCUAUUUUGUUGGUUUGCACACCAAGGUAAUGAUUAAUAGGGAUAGUUGGGGGUAUUCGUAUUUAAUUGUCAGAGGUGAAAUUCUUGGAUUUAUGAAAGACGAACUUCUGCGAAAGCAUUUACCAAAGAUGUUUUCAUUAAUCAAGAACGAAAGUUAGGGGAUCGAAAAUGAUUAGAUACCAUCGUAGUCUUAACCAUAAACUAUGCCGACUAGGGAUUGGCGGUCGUUCAUUUAUGACUCCGUCAGCACCUUAUGAGAAAUCAAAGUCUUUGGGUUCCGGGGGGAGUAUGGUCGCAAGGCUAAAACUUAAAGGAAUUGACGGAAGGGCACCACCAGAAUUGGAGCCUGCGGCUUAAUUUGACUCAACACGGGGAAACUUACCAGGUCCAAACAUAUUAAGGAUUGACA